GAUGAACGCUGGCGGCGUGCCUAAUACAUGCAAGUCGAGCGAACGGACGAGAAGCUUGCUUCUCUGAUGUUAGCGGCGGACGGGUGAGUAACACGUGGAUAACCUACCUAUAAGACUGGGAUAACUUCGGGAAACCGGAGCUAAUACCGGAUGAUAUUUUGAACCGCAUGGUUCAAAAGUGAAAGACGGUCUUGCUGUCACUUAUAGAUGGAUCCGCGCUGCAUUAGCUAGUUGGUAAGGUAACGGCUUACCAAGGCAACGAUGCAUAGCCGACCUGAGAGGCUGAUCGGCCACACAGGAACUGAGACACGGUCCAGACUCCUACGGGAGGCAGCAGUAGGGAAUCUUCCGCAAUGGGCGAAAGCCUGACGGAGCAACGCCGCGUGAGUGAUGAAGGUCUUCGGAUCGUAAAACUCUGUUAUUAGGGAAGAACAUAUGUGUAAGUAACUGUGCACAUCUUGACGGUACCUAAUCAGAAAGCCACGGCUAACUACGUG
rnacentral:rRNA from 1 species